UUUUCAUUGGAGAGUUUGAUCCUGGCUCAGGACGAACGCUGGCGGCGUGCUUAACACAUGCAAGUCGAACGGAAAGGCCCUGCUUUUGUGGGGUGCUCGAGUGGCGAACGGGUGAGUAACACGUGAGUAACCUGCCCUUGACUUUGGGAUAACUUCAGGAAACUGGGGCUAAUACCGGAUAGGAGCUCCUGCUGCAUGGUGGGGGUUGGAAAGUUUCGGCGGUUGGGGAUGGACUCGCGGCUUAUCAGCUUGUUGGUGGGGUAGUGGCUUACCAAGGCUUUGACGGGUAGCCGGCCUGAGAGGGUGACCGGCCACAUUGGGACUGAGAUACGGCCCAGACUCCUACGGGAGGCAGCAGUGGGGAAUAUUGCACAAUGG
rnacentral:rRNA from 1 species